rnacentral:rRNA from 1 species
UGGGGAAUCUUCCGCAAUGGACGAAAGUCUGACGGAGCAACGCCGCGUGAGUGAAGAAGGCCUUCGGGUUGUAAAGCUCUGUUAUUGGGGACGAAUGUGAGACUUGUGAAUAAUGAGUCUUAAUGACGGUACCUGAGGAGGAAGCCACGGCUAACUACGUGCCAGCAGCCGCGGUAAUACGUAGGUGGCAAGCGUUGUCCGGAAUUAUUGGGCGUAAAGAGCGUGUAGGCGGGGUAGUAAGUCUAUCUUAAAAGUGCGGGGCUCAACCCCGUGAGGGGAUAGAAACUGCUAUUCUUGAGUGUCGGAGAGGAAAGUGGAAUUCCCAGUGUAGCGGUGAAAUGCGUAGAUAUUGGGAGGAACACCAGUGGCGAAGGCGACUUUCUGGACGAUAACUGACGCU